AUUGAACGCUGGCGGCAGGCUUAACACAUGCAAGUCGAGCGGAGAUGAGGUGCUUGCACCUUAUCUUAGCGGCGGACGGGUGAGUAAUGCUUAGGAAUCUGCCUAUUAGUGGGGGACAACAUUACGAAAGGAAUGCUAAUACCGCAUACGCCCUCCGGGGGAAAGCAGGGGAUCUUCGGACCUUGCGCUAAUAGAUGAGCCUAAGUCGGAUUAGGUAGUUGGUGGGGUAAAGGCCUACCAAGGCGAAGAUCUGUAGCGGGUCUGAGGGGAUGAUCCGCCACACUGGGACUGAGACACGGCCCAGACUCCUACGGGAGGCAGCAGUGGGGAAUAUUGGACAAUGGGCGGAAGCCUGAUCCAGCCAUGCCGCGUGUGUGAAGAAGGCCUUUUGGUUGUAAAGCACUUUAAGCGAGGAGGAGGCUACCUGGAUUAAUACUCUAGGAUAGUGGACGUUACUCGCAGAAUAAGCACCGGCUAACUCUGUGCCAGCCGCCGCCGUAAAAC
rnacentral:rRNA from 1 species